rnacentral:piRNA from 1 species
UCCUGAUUCUAGGUUAGCAGGCUGAUCCUA